ensembl:lncRNA LINC00343 long intergenic non-protein coding RNA 343
AUGGGAAAGAAACCUGGAAAGGUAGGGAGGUAUGGAUAUGGACAAGCUAUGCCAAGGAGCAGGGCUUUGUCAUGGAGAGUGACUAGGUGCUUUUACAUAGGAAAGUCACCUGAUAAUAUUAAAACCUGUGAAAUAUCACUCUGGUGGAAGUGUGAAUGAAUUUGAAAGGGGUGUAACACUGUUCUACUUUGUUUACUCCUCAGUACCCUUGGCUGUGUACAUUUGAGUAAAGAGAGCACUAUAAAAUCAAAAACCAAUGAAAUGGUUUCCAGAACACAGAACUAUUAAGCUUAAGAAAAGGACAGAAGGAACUGAAGAGAGAGGAACUGUUUUGGAGCAUCACACUUCCACCUCAGAAGAAAUAAGGAAGGAAGGAGGAGGGUGUUCCCACGGCUCUUCAACCAGGCCGGCUCUUCAGCCUACAUCCCCAUCUCAUCAAGUAAAAGGGAUUUUUCAACUGGACCAACCAGAUGGUUUAACAGUGCACUCCCACACCAUUCAACUACGCAAGGGAGAUACACUUAACAUAUGCAGUCGUAUAACACCUACUAACAUUUUCAAACAUUAAACCUUUAAAAAAGAGUUCUAAAGAAAUAGAAGCUUGAAGUAUCAUCUCUCAAGUAUAUAGACACUACUUCAUGGUGUGGUAAUAUAUGCAUAUAGAAGCUAGUAAACACCUCCAGGAGAUGCAAAAGGAAUUAGAACUGCCACAAGGUGCAAGCAAAACCUUGAGGUGAGAAAAUCGAAUUUGGACACCGUUGAGGAGACUAUUGCAGUCAUCCAAGCUCAAGAUGGUGGAGCUUCAUCCUUGAGAAUAACCAAUGGGGAUAGAUUUAAGAGACACUUAGAGUCUGCAGCCAACAGGGCUGAAUGAGCAUAGGUGUAUUGGAAAAGUUUUGGAGAUUUGCAAUAAUUUGAAAAAACCUCACAGAUGAACUGCCACCCCUGAGAUAACAAAACCAACCCCUUCUCUUCUUCCUCCUCUUCAGCCUACCCAACAUGAAGACCACAAGGAUGAAUACCUUUAUGAUGAUCUACUUCCAUGUAAUAAAUAUUAAAUAUAUUUUCUCUUCCUCA